UCAUAAAAGGCGGCGGGGCGGGAUCUCGCCGCUCUGGGGAUCCGCCGGCGCCGGCCCUGCCCGCGCGAUGGCGGGGCGGCUGUGGGGCUCGCCGGGCGGGACCCCCAAGGGCAACGGCAGCACCGUGCUGCUCAACGUCUCGCAGCCGGCGCCCGGCGCCGGGGACGGCGCGCGCCCGCGGCCCUCGUGGCUGGCCGCCACCCUCGCCUCCAUCCUCAUCUUCACCAUCGUGGUGGACAUCGUGGGCAACCUCCUGGUGGUCCUGUCCGUGUAUCGGAACAAGAAGCUGAGGAACGCAGAUCAAUAUUGAACAUUAUUCCUGUCGAUCCUGUGUCACCACGUGGAAGGGCUGCACAAACUAUGGAGAAAACAUGGAGCCUCUGCCUGGACUUAUGAAUUUUAAACUUGGAUGCUUGAGGGCUGGUCUUAAGAUGCUUUUAGGUCCUAGGAAUGCCUACCUAAUAUUAUUUUCAAAUUCAGGCCAUGAAGGACAAGGCUCGCUGCCGUCUCUGUUAACCUUGACCACACUCACCACCUGGUCGUCAGUUCUGCAGCCCAGGUCCCAUUGAAUGUGUUCCUAGCUGCUUGAUUGAGCCCUUGACCAUUCUCAUCACCUGCGCUAGCUUUUUUUGCCUCCUUCCCCUCCUUUCUCUGUUUGCCUUCUCUUUUGUUCUUCUCCAUUGUCUGUUUUUCGUUCUUUGGUCUCUGAUUUUCUUCAACCACAUAAUUAGAUUCAGUCACUUAGUAAAGGUCAUACCUGAAUCUCUUUUUCCUAAUUGUGUCUGUUGGGUAUCAGCAAAAAAUAGCCCUGAACUUAGAAGUGUGUUGUGUUCUACAAGUUCACUCCCUGGUGGCUCAGAUGGUAAGGAGUCUACCCUCAAUGCAGGAGACCCGGGUUCAAUCCUUGAGUCGGGAAAGUCCCCUGGAGAAGGGCAUGGCAACCCACUCGCGUAUUCUUGCCUGGAGAAUUCAAUGGAUCGAGGAGCCUCGUGGGCUACAGUCCAUGGGGUCGCAAAGAGUUGGACACGAUUGAGCGAUUAACACAAUAUUAGAAGAAUAUUGUUUAUGAUAUUGAUAUGAUGUGUAUAUGAUAUUUUGGUUCUUAUGCUAGCUAGUCCACAAGAGCAUUCAGACCAACAAUUUGGCUGAAAUAAUCUUCAGAAUUGCUAGGUCACCUGAAACUCGUGAGCUUCUGAAAAACAACCUGCCUUGUCUGAAUUCUGAGCCUCUUGGGAUCCUGUGAGGAUGGGAAAGAGUGGUGUGGGUGGGAGUGGGUGGGAGCUUCCCUUAUUAAUUCAGAAAUGUCAGGAGAGAGUUCGGGUUCAUGACAUGAUAAUAGAGAAUGGAUUUAGAGUCAGAGAUAGGGUGGAAAUAAGUAUAAGUAUGUGCAGCUGCUCGUAAGUUGAGAGCUCCUGUAUUGGAGGCCAGUAAAUCAGAUCCUAUAGGGAGGUGUGGAAGGAGCUUGGGAAGAGAAUGGGUCCAGAACCGAGGCUCUGGGCCUUCUUUCCUGAAUGGAUCUGUGUUAAUCCAUCAUCUCUUUGGACUGUUUGCACUUCAGUAAAUUGAUGGACAAGAUCUCUGAGUCCUUUCUGAUUCUGAGUCCUUUGAUUUAUGUGAUUAUGAAACUGACUACGAAGUUGGGAAUCAUAGUGCUAUGAAACUGACUAGACUUGUGGAUGCAGUGAUAAUUGGUGUCAUAGUUCUUUUGAAAGUAUGCCUCACUUGUCCUAAACUAUCUGGUUCAUCUGUCAUAUAUUGGCUGGAGAAAAAUAUCUUAAUGACAUCUUGUUUCCCCACUUUAUUUCCCAAGAAAUGUUUACAAAUCUUAGAAAUUUUCCAUAUCAUUUUCCCUCCUUGGAAGAGCAUGAAGUGAUCGACUACCCAGGAUAAUUCGAGCCUGUUUCUGGUUGCGGAGCAAUGGAUUACUUCUCUGGGACACAAUGAGGUACUCAUGAGUUUGGGCAGAGUGAGCCAGGGACACAUAUGAUGAGCUGACCAGCAGAGUAUGUGAGCAAGCAAUCCCGAAUGCCUCUGGGUGAGCCGUCAGGGACAGAUGGGCUCCUCCAGGCCUGUCGUGACCCUUUCAAACUGUAACCACUCAGGAGGAACAGCCUCAAUAGAUGGCCAGCCUGGCUAUUCAGUUUGCAACAAUGCACACCUGAAGAACAGCAGGUUCACAUAAGCCAACGCUUCCCUCUCACGGAGGUGUUCAAAGGCGGAUGUUAGAAGUGGUUCUAAAAUAAAGAAUCGGACAGUCUCUCCCGCAGUAUCAAUUUGGAAUGUCCGUGUAGAGGUCAUGAAAGUGGCUUAGUCAAUGGUUUCCUGGUGAUUUAAAAACCAGAGUUCUGUGGACACUUUAAAGCCAAAGAAAAACACAGCAGAAUCUAAACUAUUUAUAUAUGAACCAAGUGCCCGAAUCCAAAAAGGGAAAUAAAAACAACUCAUUUUCAACACUUCUGAGUCAUUUUAUCCUUUCAGGAACUUUCUUAAAAAAAAAAAAAAUUAUUUAUUUCGCUGUGCCAGGUCUUCGUUGGGGCAUGCAGGAUCUAGUUUUCCUAAGCAGGGAUGGAACCCAGGCCCCCUGCAUGGGGAGCAUGGAGUCUUAGCCACUGGACCACCAAGAAGUCCCAGGAACUUUCUUUUUCAAUACGCAUUCAUUCCGCACCUUACAUUCUCUUCCCACUGUCAACGAUGCUUUUGUGUGGUAUGCUGAAUAUCCAUGACAUCAGGUAUAAGGUAACUAAAAUAGUAACAAAGGCCUAGAUUCUAGGAUAUACAGUAUUCCUCACUGAUCUGUCUGGUGUUUUUAAUGGUAAAACUAAACCUUUUGUAAUAAAACCGAAGCCUCCUUUUUAUUGCUCUGGUUCAUAUGCGAUUUUGCAAAAACUGCUGGCCAUCUUGGGUCAACAUUUCCAUUUAACACAUAAAUAUUUUACAGCAUCCAUAUCAAAUUACCAACCCUGAUUAUUAAAGGAAUUCAGCUUUUCAACCCUACCGUUCUAUUUUUAAGUUAUUUAUGAAUUUGUGUUUGAAGCGUUUUUCAAGCUUGAGAAAAAUUAAAGGAGUAAACUGCUGGAAUUGUACUUUGUGUCACACUGUCACAGACAGCAAAUUUGGUCCAAUUUCUGUGGAUAAAGUGGAAAAAUAACUUCUUAUUUGGAACGUCUACUGCUUUGUACUUACAAUUUACUUUGUACAGCAAUUUACACUUUUCAAAGUACUUUCCCACAUUUUGUUUUAUUUGUCCCUAUAACAGCCUCCUCAGGUGGAUAAAGGAAACUAAACCCCCAAAUUCCUAGAUAAAUGAUCAGUAUUUCUUAUCUCAGCACACAGCCCAAUGUAGUACAGCAGAAGGCGCACAGCAAUGAAUGUCAGAAGACCCAGGCUGAGUCUUGUAUUUGCAAUACUUUUAUUUGUGGUUUGUUUAGAGCCCAGUUUCUCAAUGUCUCUAAACCUCAGCUUCUCCAUCUGUCCAGUGGGGUACUUAUCUCACAGGGAUGCUGGGAGGAUAAACUUAGAUUCUGCCCACCCAUCCACCUAUCUACCUAUCAUUUUGAAGUCAUAAAAUACUUUAUAAGUAAAAGUAGUAUUAUGUUAUCCCUGGUGGCUCAGAUGGUAAAGAAUCUGCCUGCAAUGCAGGAGACCCGGGUUCGAUCCCUGGGUUGGGAAGAUCCCCUGGAGAAGGACAUGGCAACCCACUGCAGCAUUCUUGCUUGGAAAAUCGCCUGGACAGAGGAGCCUGGUGGGCUACGGUCUGUGGGAUCUCAAAGAGUGGGACACAGCUGAGCGACUGACACUUUCUUUUCAUGUUGUUAUUAGUGUGUAUUCUGUGAGUAGUUCUUCUUAGGUUGUUUUUAUUUAUUAUUGCUUGGGUUUUUUUUUUUUAACCUAUUUUUUAAAAGGAAUUGGAGGCUAUGCAUGGCAAGAGAUGUAAUGUCAGAAACUGAAGAUUUAGAAUCUAAUUCUCCUGCAGCAUUAUGCAAAUUUAUGGAAAUUCUCUGAUGCCUCAGUUUUCCCAUUUGUAAUGAACAUUACCUUUCACAGCAAAGUAGGGCUGAGAUUCUGAUUAUUUCAAUAUCCACCCUCUGAGAGACUGAUUAUCUCAAUAGCCAAACUGUUCUUUAAGUUAAAAUGUAUUAGUCCUGGAAGCUACAAAAACUUUCUCAGACAGGUAUGUUAUUAUUGAGAAAGUUAUGAUCUAACUCUUAUGUACAAACUUGUAGAAUGGAGAAUGAUUUCAGGCUAACAAAGUUAAUGUUUAAUAAAAUCCCUAAUCUGAUGUA